rfam:Beauveria bassiana D1-5 contig00991, whole genome shotgun sequence.
ACCCGGUUAGCUCAAUUGGUUAGAGCGUUGGACUUUUACGGUAUCCCCUGAUAUCCAAAGGCUACGAGUUCGACCCUCGUACUGGGUG